GAUGAACGCUAGCGGCAGGCUUAACACAUGCAAGUCGAGGGGUAUUUAUCUUCGGAUAGAGAGACCGGCGCACGGGUGCGUAACGCGUAUGCAAUCUACCUUUUACAGAGGGAUAGCCCAGAGAAAUUUGGAUUAAUACCUCAUAGUAUAUAGACUCGGCAUCGAGAUUAUAUUAAAGUCACAACGGUAAAAGAUGAGCAUGCGUCCCAUUAGCUAGUUGGUAAGGUAACGGCUUACCAAGGCUACGAUGGGUAGGGGUCCUGAGAGGGAGAUCCCCCACACUGGUACUGAGAUACGGACCAGACUCCUACGGGAGGCAGCAGUGAGGAAUAUUGGACAAUGGGCGCAAGCCUGAUCCAGCCAUGCCGCGUGCAGGAUGACGGUCCUAUGGAUUGUAAACUGCUUUUAUACGAGAAGAAACACUGCUACGUGUAGCAGCUUGACGGUAUCGUAAGAAUAAGGAUCGGCUAACUCCGUG
rnacentral:rRNA from 1 species